UCCCUGGUAGUAUAUCGGUUAGUACACGCGCCUGUCAUGGGCACAUCCUGUGUACGCGCGAAAGCUGGGUUCGACUCCCAGCCAAGGAG